UUUAUUUACUUAGGUAUUAAAAUUACUAAAAAACAUAAAGAUUUAUUUAAGGUUAAUUUUUUACCUUUAAUUGAUCAAAUUAAGCAACUUGCUAUUAGGUGGUCUCCACUAUCUUUGCCAUUGGUUGGUAGAGUUAAUGCUAUUAAGAUGAUGAUACUACCUAAAUUUUUAUAUUUAUUUCAAGCAUUACCAAUUUUUAUUCCUAAAUCUUUCUUUGAUACUAUUGACUCCAAAAUAUCUUCUUACUUGUGGCAGAACAAAAAUCCUAGAUUGGGCAAAAAAUAUUUACAGAAGCCUAAGAAGGAGGGCGGCUUGGCUCUACCAAACUUAAGAUUUUACUAUUGGGCAGUUAACAUACGGUAUUUAAUAUUCUGGACACAAGAAUUGAUUAUAGCUGCUUGUCCACAAUGGGUAAAUUUGGAAUGUAAAUCUGUGCAAGAUUUUUCACUGAUUUCAAUUUUAGGAUCUUCACAUCCUUUUUCUUUAUUCAAAUUGAAUAAACAGAUAACUAAUCCCAUAGUCAGAUAUACAUUACGAAUUUGGUUUCAAUUUCGUAAAUUUUUUGGUUUGAAUAAAUUUAUUUUAUCAUGUCCUAUAAUAUCUAACUAUUUUUUUUCAGCCUUCAUCUAUGGAUCAAGUUUUUCUUUUAUGGAAAACAAAAGGUGUCAACUUGAAUUCUCAAUGGCACGUUUUCCACCAUCACCCUUGACAACCACCCCCAACACAGAUGCUGCUCCACCUGAUGAAUUCAUCAGCAGAUGAUGCACAAUAGUAUACGUUCUCUGUUGAACCCGAUAAGUUUCAAGUGACUGUGGGAAACAGGAACAGAUCUGUUGCAAGGGAAUGUGGAAAUGGGGCUCCAGUGUGUCUAAAGGAAGGAUAGGACGUUAUUAUGUGAAAAGAAGCACAACAAUUAACAGCCAGUGAGACUGAUGCUGAAACACCUGGAUUUCUGAAUUGCUGGAUAAUCAGUUUUACUGUGUUGCUUGAUAACCUCUAAAUGAAAUUGUUCAUGAUGUUUGUA